GCCCUAGUAACGGCGAGUGAAGCGGCAACAGCUCAAAUUUGAAAUCUGGCCCUCGGGUCCGAGUUGUAAUUUGUAGAGGAUGCUUUUGGUGAGGUGCCUUCCGAGUUCCCUGGAACGGGACGCCAUAGAGGGUGAGAGCCCCGUCUGGUCGGACACCGAUCCUCUGUAAAGCUCCUUCGACGAGUCGAGUAGUUUGGGAAUGCUGCUCUAAAUGGGAGGUAUAUGUCUUCUAAAGCUAAAUACCGGCCAGAGACCGAUAGCGCACAAGUAGAGUGAUCGAAAGAUGAAAAGCACUUUGAAAAGAGAGUUAAAAAGUACGUGAAAUUGUUGAAAGGGAAGCGCUUAUGACCAGACUUGGGCUUGGUUGAUCAACGGGGGUUCUCCCCCGUGCACUCUUCCUCGUCCAGGCCAGCAUCAGUUCGCUGCGGGGGAUAAAAGCUUCGGGAAUGUGGCUCCCUCGGGAGUGUUAUAGCCCGUUGCAUAAUACCCUGCGGUGGACUGAGGUUCGCGUUCUGCAAGGAUGCUGGCGUAAUGGUCAUCAG
rnacentral:rRNA from 1 species